rnacentral:rRNA from 1 species
AUUGAACGCUGGCGGCAGGCCUAACACAUGCAAGUCGAGCGAGCGGCGGACGGGUGAGUAAUGCCUAGGAAUCUGCCUGGUAGUGGGGGAUAACGACCGGAAACGGUAGCUAAUACCGCAUACUAUCAGAUUAGGCUAGAUGGGAUUAGCUAGUAGGUGGGGUAACGGCUCACCCAGGCGACGAUCCCUAGCUGGUCUGAGAGGAUGACCAGUCACACUGGAACUGAGACACGGUCCAGACUCCUACGGGAGGCAGCAGUGGGGAAUAUUGCACAAUGGGCGCAAGCCUGAUGCAGCCAUGCCGCGUGUGUGAAGAAGGCCUUCGGGUUGUAAAGCACUUUCAGCGGGGAGGCGUUACCCGCAGAAGAAGCACCGGCUAACUCCGUGCCAGCAGCCGCGGUAAUUC